UUUCCGUAGGUGAACCUGCGGAAGGAUCAUUACUUUCAGUGCUUCUCGCGCUGCUCAGAGGGGCUCACGCCUCUAUCUGAACCCUUGUCUUUUGCGCACUCAUGUUUCCUCGGCGGGCUUGCCCGCCGUAUGGACAAACUUAUAACCUUUUUAAUUUUUCAAUCAGCGUCUGAAUAACUAUAAUAAUUACAACUUUCAACAACGGAUCUCUUGGUUCUG
rnacentral:misc_RNA from 1 species